rnacentral:rRNA from 1 species
UACAGAGGGGGCAAGCGUUAUUCGGAAUUAUUGGGCGUAAAGGGCGCGUAGGCGGCUUGGCAAGUGACGGGUGAAACCCCUCGGCUUAACCGAGGAACUGCCCGUUAGACUGUUAGGCUUGAGACCGGGAGAGGUGAGUGGAAUUCCCAGUGUAGCGGUGAAAUGCGUAGAUAUUGGGAGGAACACCAGUGGCGAAGGCGGCUCACUGGACCGGUACUGACGCUGAGGCGCGAAAGCGUGGGGAGCAAACAGG